rnacentral:rRNA from 1 species
GAUGCAGUGUAUGGAAUGUCAAAUUUCUAGUAUGAGAAAUUAACGAUUUAAGUCCUUCUUAAAUGAGGCCAUUUACCCAUAGAGGGUGCCAGGCCCGUAUAACGUUAAUGAUUACUAGAUGGCAUUUCCAAAGAGUCGUGUUGCUUGAUAGUGCAGCACUAAGUGGGUGGUAAACUCCAUCUAAAACUAAAUAUAACCAUGAGACCGAUAGUAAACAAGUACCGUGAGGGAAAGUUGAAAAGAACUCUGAAUAGAGAGUUAAAUAGUACGUGAAACUGCUUAGAGGUUAAGCCCGAUGAACCUGAAUAUCCAUUAUAGAAAAUUCAUCAUUACGAUUUUAAUAUUCGCAAUAUUAUAAUAAUGGUGUGCAUUUUUUCUAUAAAGGACAUUGUAAUCUAUUAACAUAAAAUUAAAUUUAUCAUAAGAUAAUUAUGCGUAAGUUUAUUCGCAUUAUUUUGCUUGCAAUUUAACAUAGAAUAAAUGCUUUUGAUUUGAUAAAGUGUUGAUAGAUUUAUUAUAUAUAGUGCUUAAAUAUUUAUAUUUUAUAAUAGCAUAUUAAUUUUUAAUUUUUGUGUUUAUUAUAUGCACUUAUAUGAUUAACAAUGCGAAAGAUUCAGGAUACCUUCGGGACCCGUCUUGAAACACGGACCAAGGAGUCUAACAUAUUUGCAAGUUAUUGGGAAUAAAAACCUAAUAGCGAAAUUAACAUAACUUAAAUAUAAUGGGAUUAGUUUUUAGCCUAUUUAUAGUCUAUUAAUUCAAUCCCGGGGCGUUCUAUACAGUUAUGUAUAAUAAUAUUUAUAUUAUUUAUACCUCUAACUAGAACGUACCUUGAGCAUAUAUGCUGUGACCCGAAAGAUGGUGAACUAUACUUGAUCAGGUUGAAGUCAGGGGAAACCCUGAUGGAAGACCGAAACAGUUCUGACGUGCAAAUCGAUUGUCAGAAUUGAGUAUAGGGGCGAAAGACCAAUCGAACCAUCUAGUAGCUGGUUCCCUCCGAAGUUUCCCUCAGGAUAGCUGGUGCAUUUAAAAAUUAUGUAAAAUAAUCUUAUCUGGUAAAGCGAAUGAUUAGAGGCCUUAGGGUCGAAACGAUCUUAACCUAUUCUCAAACUUUAAAUGGGUAAGAACCUCACCUUUCUUGGUAUGAAGGUCGUGGUUGUGAUAUAAUGUGCCCAGUGGGCCACUUUUGGUAAGCAGAACUGGCGCUGUGGGAUGAACCAAACGUAAUGUUACGGUGCCCAAAUUAACAACUCAUGCAGAUACCAUGAAA